rnacentral:misc_RNA from 1 species
GUAGGUGAACCUGCGGAAGGAUCACUAGUGAUUAAAUCGAGAGCGUCUUCAUUGACCUCUCACCCUUCACAUCCACAUACACCCUGUGAAUCGUUUGGCUUUUUCAUUAAUAGAGCGCAAGCUCGACAAGUGAAAAAGUCAUCAUUUAUACAUACCCCAGUCUUAUGAAUGUAACAGUUUUAAUAAACAUAAUAAAACUUUUAACAACGGAUCUCUUGGUUCUCGCAUCGAUGAAGAACGCAGCAUCUGA